AUUGAACGCUGGCGGCAUGCCUUACACAUGCAAGUCGAACGGGGGUAGCAAUACCCUAGUGGCGAACGGGUGAGUAAUGCAUCGGAACGUACCCAGUUGUGGGAGAUAACGUAGCGAAAGUUACGCUAAUACCGCAUACGCACUGAGGUGGAAAGCGGGGGACCGUCGGGCCUCGCGCAAUUGGAGCGGCCGAUGUCGGAUUAGCUAGUUGGUGAGGUAAAAGCUCACCAAGGCGACGAUCCGUAGCUGGUCUGAGAGGACGACCAGCCACACUGGGACUGAGACACGGCCCAGACUCCUACGGGAGGCAGCAGUGGGGAAUUUUGGACAAUGGGCGAAAGCCUGAUCCAGCCAUGCCGCGUGAGUGAAGAAGGCCUUCGGGUUGUAAAGCUCUUUCGGACGGAAAGAAAUGGCUUCGGUGAAUAAUCGGAGUCGAUGACGGUACCGUAAGAAGAAGCACCGGCUAACUACGUGCCAGCCGCCGCCGUAA
rnacentral:rRNA from 1 species